rnacentral:rRNA from 1 species
UUUACAAGUAUUAAAGGUUUCGCCUGCCCAGUGACUCUUUAAACGGCCGCGGUAUCCUAACCGUGCAAAGGUAGCAUAAUCACUUGUCCCCUAAAUCGGGACUAGAAUGAAUGGCUAAAUGAGGACUAAACUGUCUCUUACGGACUGGCCAAUGAAAUUGAUUUCCCAGUACAAAAGCUGGGAUAUACUCAUAAGACGAGAAGACCCUGUGGAGCUUCAAAACCAAACCACCCAGCAUGCUCCUUGGAUUUUUAGUUGGGGCGACUUCGGAAUAUAAAAAAACUUCCAAAAAACAAUUUUAUUAAGGUUAACACACCAAAAUUAACCCAUUAGACCCAGCAACUAACUGUUGUCUGAUUAAUGAACCAAGUUACCCCAGGGAUAACAGCGCAAUCUCCUUUUAGAGUCCAUAUCGACAAGGGGGUUUACGACCUCGAUGUUGGAUCAGGACACCCCAAUGGUGCAGCCGCCAUUAAAGGUUCGUUUGUUCAACGAUUAAUAGUCCUA